GGGGUUUCCUUUGCCGGGGAGAGCGCCUAUAUCAGGGCUGCUGGGUAACCAGCUACGGCAAUAAACGGUCAGUGCAAUAAACCUAUCGGACCCGGGGGCGGUACCCGGCGCCUCCACCACAGGGCAUCAGGCAAGAGCCAGGUGCCUUGCGGCGGGGGCGAAAUAGGAUCGACGAGGGCGUAAAGACUGUACUUUUGCUCGGCAUUGUACCACCGUCAUCGGGCUAUCUUAAUAGUUGCAAACGACAACUAUGCUUCGGACGUCGCUGUCGCUGCGUAAUGCGGUGCCAGUAGUCCACUAAAGCCCUUCCGGGUAGCACCGGAAGGCGGGGUCCGGAGGCACCUGGCAACAGAAGCCUCCACU
rfam:Labrenzia suaedae strain DSM 22153 genome assembly, contig: Ga0131142_102